GCGCAGCAGUCGAGAAUUUUUCUCAAUGGGGGAAACCCUGAAGGAGCGACGCCGCGUGGAGGAUGAAGGUCUUCGGAUUGUAAACUCCUGUCAUUUGGGAACAAGUUGCAUCGGUUAACUGCCGAUGCAUUGAUAGUACCAGAAGAGGAAGAGACGGCUAACUCUGUGCCAGCAGCCGCGGUAAUACAGAGGUCUCAAGCGUUGUUCGGAUUCAUUGGGCGUAAAGGGUGCGUAGGUGGCGGGGUAAGUCUGGUGUGAAAUCUCGGGGCUCAACCCCGAAACUGCACUGGAUACUGCCUUGCUCGAGUACUGGAGAGGAGAUUGGAAUUUACGGUGUAGCAGUGAAAUGCGUAGAUAUCGUAAGGAAGACCAGUGGCGAAGGCGAGUCUCUGGACAGUUACUGACAACUGAGGCACGAAGG
rnacentral:rRNA from 1 species